CAUAUACUCUCUCCGUCCGAAAAUACUUGUCGGAGGAAUGGAUGUAUCUCGACGUAUUUUAGUUCUAAAAUACGUCGAGAUACAUCCAUUCCUCCGACAAGUAUUUUCGGACCGAGGGAGUACUAG
rfam:Triticum aestivum genome assembly, contig: Triticum_aestivum_CS42_TGACv1_scaffold_221671_3B